GAUGAACGCUGGCGGCGUGCCUAAUACAUGCAAGUCGAGCGAACGGACGAGAAGCUUGCUUCUCUGAUGUUAGCGGCGGACGGGUGAGUAACACGUGGAUAACCUACCUAUAAGACUGGGAUAACUUCGGGAAACCGGAGCUAAUACCGGAUAAUAUUUUGAACCGCAUGGUUCAAAAGUGAAAGACGGUCUUGCUGUCACUUAUAGAUGGAUCCGCGCUGCAUUAGCUAGUUGGUAAGGUAACGGCUUACCAAGGCAACGAUGCAUAGCCGACCUGAGAGGGUGAUCGGCCACACUGGAACUGAGCCACGGUCCUGACUCCUACGGGAGGCAGCAGUAGGGAAUCUUCCACAAUGGGCGAAAGCCUGACGGAGCAACGCCGCGUGAGUGAUGAAGGUCUUCGGAUCGUAAAACUCUGUUAUUAGGGAAGAACAUAUGUGUAAGUAACUGUGCACAUCUUGACGGUACCUAAUCAGAAAGCCACGGCUAACUACGUG
rnacentral:rRNA from 1 species